rnacentral:rRNA from 1 species
GGGAUACAACUCCCAAACCCCUGUGAACAUACCACUUGUUGCCUCGGCGGAUCAGCCCGCUCCCGGUAAAACGGGACGGCCCGCCAGAGGACCCCUAAACUCUGUUUCUAUAUGUAACUUCUGAGUAAAACCAUAAAUAAAUCAAAACUUUCAACAACGGAUCUCUUGGUUCUGGCAUCGAUGAAGAACGCAGCAAAAUGCGAUAAGUAAUGUGAAUUGCAGAAUUCAGUGAAUCAUCGAAUCUUUGAACGCACAUUGCGCCCGCCAGUAUUCUGGCGGGCAUGCCUGUUCGAGCGUCAUUUCAACCCUCAAGCACAGCUUGGUGUUGGGACUCGCGUUAAUUCGCGUUCCCCAAAUUGAUUGGCGGUCACGUCGAGCUUCCAUAGCGUAGUAGUAAAACCCUCGUUACUGGUAAUCGUCGCGGCCACGCCGUUAAACCCCAACUUCUGAAUGUUGACCUCGGAUCAGGUAGGAAUACCCGCUGAACUUAAGCAUAUCAAUAAGCGGAGGAAAAGAAACCAACAGGGAUUGCCCUAGUAACGGCGAGUGAAGCGGCAACAGCUCAAAUUUGAAAUCUGGCUCUCGGGCCCGAGUUGUAAUUUGUAGAGGAUACUUUUGAUGCGGUGCCUUCCGAGUUCCCUGGAACGGGACGCCAUAAGGGUGAGAGCCCCGUCUGGUU